CUCAGGAUCUUGGGCACGCACGCACACGCGCCCGGCGUUUUAUACCUCUUUACUCUGAAGUGUGAAGGAGCAACAGAAGAAAGACAUAUGUGAGUCCUGACAGAGGAAAGGAGGAAUUUGGUGUUUACCCAAGAAAAACUGAAGAGGGUCAGCAGAUGGCAUGGUGGUUAAGGUUGCUGGACUCCCACAUGGCCGAC